rnacentral:tRNA from 1 species
GGACCGUUAGCUCAGUUGGUAGAGCACCUGAACAUGCGCACUCCGACAGGGGUGCCACAGCACUGCUUCACUUAAGGUUGGUGGUCGCAGGUUCGAGUCCUGCACGGUCCA